UCAGUUUAUUUUAAAAUAAACUUCAAAUGCCACACCUGUAGUUUCACACUUUUUCGGUUUAUUAUUUUUACAUUAUGUGGUUUUAUUUUUCUCUUUUCGGCAGCACAUCCGUUAACUUUUUGUUAAAUCAUAUACAAAAAAUUUCAGAUACUUCGCCUAUAACUUACCGAAUAUUCACUUUAGUACCCUGUGGUUAACGAAUUUUUACUUUAGUAUCAUGUGGUUUUAACUUUAUCACUGAUAUAACGAAAAAAUUAACGGAGAGGACAAUAGAAAGAGAAAGGCGAAACCACAUGACACUAAUUAAAGUGAUACAUAUUUUAAACCACAUGAUACUAAUUAAAGUGAGAAAGCGCGAAACUAUAGGGAUAGUAUUUGAAGUUUUUUCUUUAUUUUAUUCAGCAUAAUGC
rnacentral:lncRNA from 1 species